GCUUCUGUAGCUCAGGGGAUAGAGCAGUGGUUUCCUAAACCAUGUGCGCAUGUUCGAGUCAUGCCAGAAGCACCA
rnacentral:tRNA from 1 species